ACCUUUAGUCUUUUUGUUUUUUUUUUGUAACAUAAAUGUGUUUUCAAAUCUCUCACAUCUCAUUUCUCCCAAAAAAUGAAAUGAAGAACAUAUUUUACUUCCUAAAAAUCCAAGAGAUAGAUGGUUAGAGAGAGAAGAUCAGAGAGAGAGAGAGAGGCAAUAAGGAAUGUGAGAGAGGCAGUGAAGAUCGGAGAGAAUAUCAGAAGAUCGAACGGGUGUUCCAUACAACAUCAGAUUCAGAUCUGGUUCAGAUCCGAAAUCCAAAAAGAUGAUCCAGUUCCAAGAUGCUACCAGAUCCAAAAGAUGCUCCAGAUCCGGUUGAAGAUGUUUCGAUGUUGAAGAUGAUAUUCCAUAUAACGGUUCGAUGUUGAAGAUGAUCCAAAAGAUGUUCAAUAUUGAACAUGAUGUUCCAAAUCUAAAAGAUCCUCCAGAUCCAUAAAUCUGAACAAAUGGAAACAAUUUGAUUUAAGUUCUUAUGUAUUGGAUUAAAAUCUAAGUUACUUUCUUGUU